rnacentral:rRNA from 1 species
CUUGGUCAUUUAGAGGAAGUAAAAGUCGUAACAAGGUUUCCGUAGGUGAACCUGCGGAAGGAUCAUUACAAAUCCGAAUAUUUACGAUGUGGGAAAUCAAGAUUUUCCACUUUCGCAUUACAUUACCUAUUGACACUUGUAUUUUACUAACUAAUCAAGAAUACCUUUUAACAAUGGAUCUCUUGGCUCUUGCAUCGAUGAAGAACGCAGCAAACUGCGAUACGUCAUGUGAACUGCACUCUUCGCGAAUCAUUAAAUCUUUGAACGCAUAUGGCACCUCGAGGCAACACGUCCCGAGGUAUACUUGUUUGAGCAUCCGAUACGUCUCACUCUACCAUUGGCUGGAUGUGUAAACUGAGUGUAGUUGGGAUUCAUUACUAGUAAAAAUGUUUCCUUGAAAGCAGGCACGCGUCAGACGCUGAUGCACGCACGGCUAUUCAUGGGAUAAUAUCCACGACGUGAAUGUGUGUGCGUGUUAGGGGUCGUGACAGGCAAAAAUAUCUCAUCACAAAACCGAUCUCAAAUCAAGUAAGAUGACCCGCUGAACUUAAGCAUAUCAAUAAGCGGAGGA